UACGUAGGGUGCAAGCGUUAAUCGGAAUUACUGGGCGUAAAGCGUGCGCAGGCGGUUGUGCAAGACAGAUGUGAAGUCCCCGGGCUUAACCUGGGAAUUGCAUUUGUGACUGCACGGCUAGAGUGUGUCAGAGGGGGGUAGAAUUCCACGUGUAGCAGUGAAAUGCGUAGAUAUGUGGAGGAAUACCGAUGGCGAAGGCAGCCCCCUGGGAUAACACUGACGCUCAUGCACGAAAGCGUGGGGAGCAAACAGG
rnacentral:rRNA from 1 species